rnacentral:rRNA from 1 species
UGAGUAACACGUAUCCAACCUGCCGUCUACUCUUGGCCAGCCUUCUGAAAGGAAGAUUAAUCCAGGAUGGCAUCAUGAGUUCACAUGUCCGCAUGAUUAAAGGUAUUUUCCGGUAGACGAUGGGGAUGCGUUCCAUUAGAUAGUAGGCGGGGUAACGGCCCACCUAGUCUUCGAUGGAUAGGGGUUCUGAGAGGAAGGUCCCCCACAUUGGUACUGAGACACGGACCAA